AAUAGUAACGGCCGUGGAGCGAGGAGGAGGGAGAAGAAGGGGUGGUAACCGUUGUCAGCUAUGGAGGCAGAGAGUCUUGAGGUUGGCCUUGAAGUCCACAGACUCUUUGACCUUCGAGCCCAGCAGAGCUCCCAGCAUGGCGUCAGCAGACACCCUCACCCUCCUCAGUCUUGAGGUUGGCCUUGAAGUCCACAGACUCUUUAACCUUAGAGCCCAGCAGAGCUCCCAGCAUGGCAUCAGCUGAGAUCUUCACCCUCUUGAGAGCAGGUCGCUUCAUCUUACCCUUCAGCUCAAAGAUUUUCAGAGACAGAUUUUCAAUCUGCAGGACAUAAUUAUAAAUAAAACCUGUGGAGGUGAGCAGUCUCUGUCUUUCAAUGACAAGAAGAAAACUCAAGUCAACUUUAAUGACUCCUAUUGCCUUCUGUGAGUGGCCAACUAAAAUAGCCUCCUCUGUCCUGUCAGCUAGUAUACUGUAUAUCACUCACUUCUACAUGGCAUCCCCCAGCACCAGGUUUACCACUACAGCUCAACCCAAAGAUUACAGAAUGCCUUGAUUCUAGUUAUUAACAUCUGUUUUGUCUGUGAAUUUAUUACCUUUAUUGCUAUUAAAACAUGUAAAGCAGGAAUGAAAAUUAAAUCUGAGCAAACCAAAGAAACCAUACAAGCAAGUGAUGUUGGUUGUUUAAUUAGCAUCACAUGUAUUACAGAUAGUGGGACAGUGCCAUCUUCUGUUUAAUGUAAA